rnacentral:rRNA from 1 species
UAGGGAAUCUUCGGCAAUGGACGAAAGUCUGACCGAGCAACGCCGCGUGAGUGAAGAAGGUUUUCGGAUCGUAAAACUCUGUUGUUAGAGAAGAACAAGGACGUUAGUAACUGAACGUCCCCUGACGGUAUCUAACCAGAAAGCCACGGCUAACUACGUGCCAGCAGCCGCGGUAAUACGUAGGUGGCAAGCGUUGUCCGGAUUUAUUGGGCGUAAAGCGAGCGCAGGCGGUUUCUUAAGUCUGAUGUGAAAGCCCCCGGCUCAACCGGGGAGGGUCAUUGGAAACUGGGAGACUUGAGUGCAGAAGAGGAGAGUGGAAUUCCAUGUGUAGCGGUGAAAUGCUUAGAUAUAUGGAGGAACACCAGUGGCGAAGGCGGCUCUAUGGUCUGUAACUGACGCUGAGGCUCGAAAGCGUGGGGAGCAAACAGG